rnacentral:rRNA from 1 species
AAAUUGAAGAGUUUGAUCAUGGCUCAGAUUGAACGCUGGCGGCAGGCCUAACACAUGCAAGUCGAGCGGUAGCACAGAGAGCUUGCUCUCGGGUGACGAGCGGCGGACGGGUGAGUAAUGUCUGGGAAACUGCCUGAUGGAGGGGGAUAACUACUGGAAACGGUAGCUAAUACCGCAUAACGUCGCAAGACCAAAGUGGGGGACCUUCGGGCCUCAUGCCAUCAGAUGUGCCCAGAUGGGAUUAGCUAGUAGGUGGGGUAACGGCUCACCU